rnacentral:rRNA from 1 species
UACGUAGGGCGCGAGCGUUGUCCGGAUUUAUUGGGCGUAAAGAGCUCGUAGGCGGCUUGUUGCGUCAGCUGUGAAAACCCGCAGCUCAACUGUGGGCUUGCAGCUGAUACGGGCAGGCUUGAGUUCGGUAGGGGAGACUGGAAUUCCUGGUGUAGCGGUGAAAUGCGCAGAUAUCUGGAGGAACACCGGAGGCGAAGGCGGAUCACUGGACUGCCACUGACGCUGAGGCGCGAAAGCUAGGGGAGCAAACAGG